rnacentral:tmRNA from 1 species
GGGGUUGUUAUGGAUUCGACGGGUAUAGGUCGAGCCCGGAUUGCGUUUCGAAGCGGCAUCUUCGUUAAAAGGUCCAGUUUUAAAUUAUAACUGCAAACAAUAAUUCUAACUCUUACGCAUUGGCUGCCUAAUAAGCGCAUGCGUAGAUCCUCUCUACCUUGUCUGCGGGUAGAAUCUGGGUCCUAAAUUAGCGGACUUACGUUAAUCGCUCACACCUGAAGUAGAUUAAAAGAGAUAAAUCAGGUUAGCUAAUCUCGUUAGCCUUGACUGACGGCGCUCUGAUUAGUGAACUUCAAAUAGUCACUCUAUGAACGUAGAUAUCCGGGUGGCGAUAUGCUCGGACGCGGGUUCGACUCCCGCCAACUCCAUUG